rnacentral:rRNA from 1 species
CCUACGGGUGGCAGCAGUGAGGAAUAUUGGUCAAUGGCCGGAAGGCUGAACCAGCCAUGCCGCGUGAAGGUCAGUGCCCUAUGGGCGUUAAACUUCUUUUGUGCGGGAGCAAUAAUGGUCACGUGUGGCCAGACGAGAGUACCGUACGAAUAAGCAUCGGCUAACUCCGUGCCAGCAGCCGCGGUAAUACGGGGGAUGCAAGCGUUAUCCGGAUUUAUUGGGUUUAAAGGGUGCGUAGGCUGUGAGGUAAGUCAGCGGUGAAAUGCCCCCGCUCAACGGGGUGAAGUGCCAUUGAUAAUGCCUGGCUGGAAUGCGGAUGCCGUGGGAGGAAUGUGUGGGGGAGCGGUGAAAUGCAUAGAUAUCACACAGAACACCGAUUGCGAAGGCAUCUCACGAAUCCGCGAUUGACGCUGAUGCACGAAAGCGUGGGUAUCAAACAGGAUUAGAUACCCGGGUAGUC